CCCCAAACGCGAACACCCCCAACUCCUCAAGUCGUGACCUAAAGUCACAUAACCCCUCCACCCCCAAUUUCGAAACCUAGCUUCUCUCGCUCUCUUCUCUCAGUCUCGCCCUCGCACAAUCUCGCAGUCGCUCUCUGUUGCUCUCAGUCUCGCCCUCGUAGAGUCGCAAUCCCACCAGCCGCCAGCACCGAAGCCUUCUUCCCAGUUCCCAGCGAGCACCGACCAAGCAGGCAGCAGCGUUCUUCCCAGCAGCGCCCAGCGUCGCCAGCGAGCACUGACCCAGGAACGUUCUUCCCAGCAGCGCCAAGCCACCGACCCCAGUUCCCACCGAGCCUCCAUCGUCUUCUGUAAUGGAGGCUAAGCCUCAUGGAAAUUGCUUGUGAUUGCUGGUUCACUGGUUCAGUGGGUUUCUCUCCAUGCAUCAAUCCUAGACCACAUGUUUUUUGUGUGAUAGCAUGCACGUUAAGAAGACCUUCAACCAAAAAAUUGACCUAAAGCUCUUUAUAUAAGGAAGAGAGCUUUUGUUCAUUUAAUCAUGCAGAAAGCACUAUGGGAACGUCCUGUAUAUUGAGGCUGCAGAAAAUGGCUGCCAUCUUUACCAACUAUUCCUGAAGUGUAGAACUAUUGAAUAGUUGUAAAAUUUUUGCAGUUAAUAUUAUUUACAACUCUUAUAACAUUUUCUGAGAGGUUCUGGAUUGUGUGUAUCUACUAAAUAAUAUCAAGGAUGUUUACUUGCUUAAA